UACGAAGGGUGCUAGCGUUGUUCGGAAUUACUGGGCGUAAAGGGUGCGCAGGCGGUUAUAUAAGACAGAUGUGAAAUCCCCGGGCUCAACCUGGGAACUGCGUUUGUGACUGUAUGACUAGAGUACGGUAGAGAGGGGUGGAAUUCCUGGUGUAGCAGUGAAAUGCGUAGAUAUCAGGAGGAACAUCGAUGGCGAAGGCAGCCCCUUGGACCUGUACUGACGCUCAUGCACGAAAGCGUGGGGAGCAAACAGG
rnacentral:rRNA from 1 species